GAUGAACGCUGGCGGCGUGCCUAAUACAUGCAAGUCGAGCGAAUGGAUUAAGAGCUUGCUCUUAUGAAGUUAGCGGCGGACGGGUGAGUAACACGUGGGUAACCUGCCCAUAAGACUGGGAUAACUCCGGGAAAACGGGGCUAAUACCGGAUAACAUUUUGAACCGCAUGGUUCGAAAUUGAAAGGCGGCUUCGGCUGUCACUUAUGGAUGGACCAGCGUCGCAUUAGCUAGUUGGUGAGGUAACGGCUCACCAAGGCAACGAUGCGUAGCCGGCCUGGGAGGUUGAUCGGCCACACUGGGACUGGGACACGGCCCAGACUCCUACAGGAGGCAGCAGUAGGGAGUCUUCCGCAAUGAACGAAAGUCUGACGGAGCAACGCGGCAUGAGUGAUGAAGGCUUUCGGGUCGUAAAACUCUGUUGUUAUGGAAGAACAAGUGCUAGUUGAAUAAGCUGGCACCUUGACGGUACCUAACCAGAAAGCCACGGCUAACUACGUGCCAGCAGCCGCCGCGG
rnacentral:rRNA from 1 species